GCUUAACACAUGCAAGUCGAGGGGUCUCGCGGGAGCUUGCUCCCAAGAGACGACCGGCGCACGGGUGAGUAACGCGUAUCCAACCUGCCCUUCAUAUUGGGAUAGCCUUCCGAAAGGGAGAUUAAUACCUGAUGGUGUUCAAAUUCCGCAUGUUAUUUGAACUAAAGAUUUAUCGGUAACGGAUGGGGAUGCGUGACAUUAGGUAGAUGGCGGGGUAACGGCCCACCAUGCCUACGAUGUCUAGGGGUUCUGAGAGGAAGGUCCCCCACACUGGAACUGAGACACGGUCCAGACUCCUACGGGAGGCAGCAGUGAGGAAUAUUGGUCAAUGGUCGGAAGACUGAACCAGCCAAGUAGCGCGAAGGAUGAAGGUUCUAUGGAUUGUAAACUUCUUUUAUACGGGAAUAAAACCACCUACGUGUAGGUGCUUGUAUGUACCGUAUGAAUAAGCAUCGGCUAACUCCGUGCCAGCAGCCGCGGUAAUACGGAGGAUGCGAGCGUUAUCCGGAUUUAUUGGGUUUAAAGGGAGCGUAGACGGGAGAUUAAGUCAGUUGUGAAAGGCUGCGGCUCAACCGCAGCACUGCAGUUGAUAUUGGUUUCCUUGAGUGCGGUUGAGGUAUGUGGAAUUCGUGGUGUAGCGGUGAAAUGCUUAGAUAUCACGAA
rnacentral:rRNA from 1 species